AUUGAACGCUAGCGGGAUGCUUUACACAUGCAAGUCGAACGGCAGCGCGAGAAAGCUUGCUUUCUUGGCGGCGAGUGGCGAACGGGUGAGUAAUGUAUCGGAACGUGCCCAGUAGCGGGGGAUAACUGGCCGAAAGGUCAGCUAAUACCGCAUACGCCCUACGGGGGAAAGGGGGGAUCGCAAGACCUCUCACUAUUGGAGCGGCCGAUAUCGGAUUAGCUAGUUGGUGGGGUAAAGGCCUACCAAGGCGACGAUCCGUAGCUGGUUUGAGAGGACGACCAGCCACACUGGGACUGAGACACGGCCCAGACUCCUACGGGUGGCUG
rnacentral:rRNA from 1 species